rnacentral:rRNA from 1 species
GAUGAACGCUGGCGGCGUGCCUAAUACAUGCGAGUAGAACGCUGAAGGAGGAGCUUGCUCUUCUGGAUGAGUUGCGAACGGGUGAGUAACGCGUAGGUAACCUGCCUGGUAGCGGGGGAUAACUAUUGGAAACGAUAGCUAAUACCGCAUGACAACAGUUAUUGCAUGAUAACUGUUUAAAAGGGGCAACUGCUCCACUACCAGAUGGACCUGCGUUGUAUUAGCUAGUUGGUGAGGUAACGGCUCACCAAGGCGACGAUACAUAGCCGACCUGAGAGGGUGAUCGGCCACACUGGGACUGAGACACGGCCCAGACUCCUACGGGAGGCAGCAGUAGGGAAUCUUCGGCAAUGGACGGAAGUCUGACCGAGCAACGCCGCGUGAGUGAAGAAGGUUUUCGGAUCGUAAAGCUCUGUUGUAAGAGAAGAACGAGUGUGAGAGUGGAAAGUUCACACUGUGACGGUAUCUUACCAGAAAGGGACGGCUAACUACGU